rnacentral:rRNA from 1 species
CAAAUGAAUUGACGGGACCCGCACAAGCGGUGGAUGAUGUGGAUUAAUUCGAUGCAACGCGAAAACCUUACCUACCCUUGACAUGUCCGGAAUCCCGAAGAGAUUUGGGAGUGCUCGAAAGAGAACCUGCACACAGGUGCUGCAUGGCUGUCGUCAGCUCGUGUCGUGAGAUGUUGGGUUAAGUCCCGCAACGAGCGCAACCCUUGCCAUUAGUUGCUACGAAAGGGCACUCUAAUGGGACUGCCAGUGACAAACCGGAGGAAGGUGGGGAUGACGUCAAGUCCUCAUGGCCCUUAUAGGUGGGGCUACACACGUCAUACAAUGGCCGGUACAGAGGGCUGCGAAGCCGCGAGGUGGAGCGAAUCCCAGAAAACCUGUCUCAGUCCGGAUUGAAGUCUGCAACUCGACUUCAUGAAGGCGGAAUCGCUAGUAACCGCGAAUCAGCAGGUCGCGGUGAAUACGUUCCCGGGCCUU